rnacentral:rRNA from 1 species
UACGGGGGGAGCAAGCGUUGUUCGGAUUUACUGGGCGUAAAGGGCGCGUAGGCGGCCACCGCAAGUCGACUGUGAAAUCUCCGGGCUUAACCCGGAAAGGUCAGCCGAUACUGCGGGGCUAGAGUGCAGAAGGGGCAACUGGAAUUCUCGGUGUAGCGGUGAAAUGCGUAGAUAUCUGGAGGAACACCGGUGGCGAAGGCGGCAUCCUGGACCGAGAUUGACGCUGAGGCGCGAAAGCUAGGGGAGCAAACGGG